AACGAACGCUGGCGGCAGGCUUAACACAUGCAAGUCGAGCGCCCCGCAAGGGGAGCGGCAGACGGGUGAGUAACGCGUGGGAAUCUACCCAUCUCUACGGAAUAACGCAUGGAAACGUGUGCUAAUACCGUAUACGUCCUUCGGGAGAAAGAUUUAUCGGAGAUGGAUGAGCCCGCGGUGGAUUAGCGAGUUGGUGGGGUAAAGGCCUACCAAGGCGACGAUCCAUAGCUGGUCUGAGAGGAUGAUCAGCCACACUGGGACUGAGACACGGCCCAGACUCCUACGGGAGGCAGCAGUGGGGAAUAUUGGACAAUGGGCGCAAGCCUGAUCCAGCCAUGCCGCGUGAGUGAUGAAGGCCCUAGGGUUGUAAAGCUCUUUCACCGGUGAAGAUAAUGACGGUAACCGGAGAAGAAGCCCCGGCUAACUUCGUGCCAGCCGCCGCCGUAAAAC
rnacentral:rRNA from 1 species